AGCCUCCAAGUCAACAUCCAACACAUCAAAACAUCAUUUUGAUCAAUUCAUUUUAAGACAGGAGAGAAGAGCGACCUCUGGAUCCCGUUGGGAGCAGCCCAGGCGGGCAGUUCCUGCGCGUGGUUACCUGCAGAGCAUGGCACUGGUGUAGAACACAAAGGAGGACAAGCAGCAGGAGUUCUGACUUCUUCCUUGAAGCACAAGAUUUGGAAGAGCAGCAGAGGCCUCUGCCGGUAAGACGCCACAGCAGAGAUGUGAGAAAAGAAACACAAAACGUUGCUCGUUACCACUUCUAAUAAUUCCCCAAAGGAGAACAAAUAAAUGAGUGAAAACUUCUCAAGCCCCUUGUUCAGAUUCUGAAAUGCCCCUGGGUCGAACUCCCACUGCCACAGGGCUGG